AGCCGCGGUAAUACGGAGGAUCCGAGCGUUAUCCGGAUUUAUUGGGUUUAAAGGGUGCGUAGGCGGCCUUUUAAGUCAGCGGUGAAAGUCUGUGGCUCAACCAUAGAAUUGCCGUUGAAACUGGGGGGCUUGAGUAUGUUUGAGGCAGGCGGAAUGCGUGGUGUAGCGGUGAAAUGCAUAGAUAUCACGCAGAACCCCGAUUGCGAAGGCAGCCUGCCAAGCCAUUACUGACGCUGAUGCACGAAAGCGUGGGGAUCAAACAGGAUUAGAUACCCUGGUAGUCCACGCAGUAAACGAUGAUCACUAGCUGUUUGCGAUACACUGUAAGCGGCACAGCGAAAGCGUUAAGUGAUCCACCUGGGGAGUACGCCGGCAACGGUGAAACUCAAAGGAAUUGACGGGGGCCCGCACAAGCGGAGGAACAUGUGGUUUAAUUCGAUGAUACGCGAGGAACCUUACCCGGGCUUAAAUUGCAACCGAAUAUGGCGGAAACGCCAUAGCUAGCAAUAGCGGUUGUGAAGGUGCUGCAUGGUUGUCGUCAGCUCGUGCCGUGAGGUGUCGGCUUAAGUGCCAUAACGAGCGCAACCCUUGCCACUAGUUACUAACAGGUAAAGCUGAGGACUCUGGUGGGACUGCCAGCGUAAGCUGCGAGGAAGGCGGGGAUGACGUCAAAUCAGCACGGCCCUUACAUCCGGGGCGACACACGUGUUACAAUGGCGUGGACAAAGGGAAGCCACCUGGCGACAGGGAGCGAAUCCCCAAACCACGUCUCAGUUCGGAUCGGAGUCUGCAACCCGACUCCGUGAAGCUGGAUUCGCUAGUAAUCGCGCAUCAGCCAUGGCGCGGUGAAUACGUUCCCGGGCCUUGUACACACCGCCCGUCAAGCCAUGGGAGCCGGGGGUACCUGAAGUGCGUAACCGCGAGGAGCGCCCUAGGGUAAAACUGGUGACUGGGGCUAAGUCGUAACAAGGUAGCCGUACCGGAAGGUGCGGCUG
rnacentral:rRNA from 1 species